CUCCUCUCUCCCUGUCAUCAGUUUUCGUCAUCGAACAUCGUCGUCAUCAUCUUCGACUAUUAAAAUCACGGGAGUCAGUGGAAGAGCAGCCAUGAUCAACGAACGGUGUUAACACGAUAACGGAAGGAAGAAGGAGGAGAACAAAAGCAACAAGAUGUAUCGUCUAAUCGGAGGUGUUCCUAUUUUUUUCUGUCGCAGAUCAAUCGACCAACUUGGACCGAACGAUAAUGGUAACGACGCUCGAUACAUCCUGGCGGACUACACGAGGAACGGAAUUCAACAGGACCACUACUUGGACGAUUGGAAGCCAAUGAGGACGCAGAAUCAACGAGUGCAGCUAGAAUUAAUCAAUAUAUAUAGUAAUCACUGCUUAGCUAUUUAAGAAGAAGAAAAAGAAGAAGAAAAAGAAGAAGAGGAAGAAAAAGAAGAAUACUUGCGGUAAUAAGAAUUAUGGAAGACAAUGAAGAUAAUCAAGAUAAUCAAGAAGA